rnacentral:rRNA from 1 species
GACGAACGCUGGCGGCGUGCUUAACACAUGCAAGUCGAGCGGUAAGGCCUUUCGGGGUACACGAGCGGCGAACGGGUGAGUAACACGUGGGUGAUCUGCUCUGCACUUCGGGAUAAGCCUGGGAAACUGGGUCUAAUACCGGAUAUGACCUCCUAUCGCAUGGUGGGUGGGGGAAAGAUUUAUCGGUGCAAGAUGGGCCCGCGGGCUAUCAGCUUGUUGGUGGGGUAAUGGUCUACCAAGGCGACGAGGGCUAGCCCACCUUUGAGGGUGAACGGCCACAAGGGGACUGAGACACGGCCCAGUCUCCUACGGGAGGCAGCAGUGGAGAAUCUUGCACAACGGGCGAGAGCCUGAUGUGACGACGCUGCGUGCGGGAUGCCGGCUUUCGGGUUGUAAACCUAUUUCAGCAGGGCCGAAGAGAAAGUGACGGUACCUGCAGAAGAAGCACCGGCUAACUACGUG